rnacentral:rRNA from 1 species
GAUGAACGCUGGCGGCGUGCUUAACACAUGCAAGUCGAACGAGAAGUGAAGACGGAAACCUUCGGGCGGAAGGCUUUAUUUCGAGUGGCGGACGGGUGAGUAACGCGUGGGUAACCUGCCUCAUACAGGGGGAUAACAGUUGGAAACGACUGUUAAUACCGCAUAAGACCACAGCACCGCAUGGUGCGGGGGUAAAAACUCCGGUGGUAUGAGAUGGACCCGCGUUCGAUUAGCCAGUUGGCGGGGUAACGGCCCACCAAAGCGACGAUCGAUAGCCGAUCUGAGAGGAUGACCGGCCACAUUGGGACUGAGACACGGCCCAAACUCCUACGGGAGGCGGCAGUGGGGAAUAUUGCACAAUGGGGGAAACCCUGAUGCAGCGACGCCGCGUGAGUGAAGAAGUAUUUCGGUAUGUAAAGCUCUAUCAGCAGGGAAGAAAAUGACGGUACCUGAGUAAGAAGCCCCGGCUAACUACGUG